rnacentral:tRNA from 1 species
CAAAGUGUAGCUUAACCAAAGCCCCUCGCUUACACCGAGAACAUAUCCGUUUAACCCGGAUCAUUUUGA